GUCAGGGUUCACUCCUAGUUGACCACUGCCAAAAGGGCAUGGUUAUUGACCAGAUGACAUGGUCAUUCAGGGAAGGAUGGACCAUGUAGGGCAGGGGUUCCCAACCCUUACUGGUCCGUGGCCUGUUAGGAACUGGGCUGCACAGCAGGAGGUGAGCUUCUUCAUGAGCCAGCAUUACGGCCUGAGCUCCUCCUCCUGUCCAAUCAGUGGCGACAUUAGAUUCUCAUAGAAACAUGAAUCCUAUUGUGAAUUGUGCGUGCCUGAUGAUCUGAGGUGGAACAGUUACCUUCCAAAACCGUCCCCACUUCACCCCCCGGCUGUGGAAAAGUUGCCUUCCACAAAAUCCAUCCCUAGUGCCAAAAAGGUUGGGGACCACUGGUAUAGAGGUAUCCUCAGUAGGACUCAGCAAGCUGGCAACCCUAAUUAUGUCUAUUAGGACACCCCAAGAAUGGCUCUCUGCUGGAAGUAAAAACGGUUAAUGCCUUAUGGAUUCAUUUUCUAAGGCCAGGUUUCCCAAGGGGGUAAAGGGCAUGUCUUUUGUGAAAAGGACCUGGAUGCUAAACAGGCAACCCUUUCCCCCAUCAACUUUCUCCUUAGAGCUAUUUCCAGCUCCAGUGCUGAAUGCAUCUGUGACAUCCCCACUCCUGGGGGGAAUCUGGUCACCCUGAGCUGUGAAACAAAGUUGCUCUUGCAGAGGCCUGGUUUGCAGCUUUACUUCUCCUUCUACAUGGGCAGCAAGACCCUGCGAGGCAGGAACACAUCCUCUGAAUACUAAAUACUAACUGCUAGAAGAGAAGACUCUGGGUUAUACUGGUGCGAGGCUGCCACAGAGGAUGGAAAUGUCCUUAAGCGCAGCCCUGAGUUGGAGCUUCAAGUGCUUGGCCUCCAGUUACCAACUCCUGUCUGGUUUCAUGUCCUUUUCUAUCUGGCAGUGGGAAUAAUGUUUUUAGUGAACACUGUUCUCUGGGUGACAAUACGUAAAGAACUGAAAAGAAAGAAAAAGUGGAAUUUAGAAAUCUCUUUGGAUUCUGGUCAUGAGAAGAAGGUAAUUUCCAGCCUUCAAGAAGACAGACAUUUAGAAGAAGAGCUGAAAUGUCAGGAACAAAAAGAAGAACAGCUGCAGGAAGGGGUGCACCGGAAGGAGCCCCAGGGGGCCACGUAGCAGCGGCUCAGUGGGUGGCCAUCGAUCUGGACCGUCCCCUGUCCACUUGCUCCCCGUGAGCACUGCGUACAAACAUCCAAAAGUUCAACAACACCAGAACUGUGUGUCUCAUGGUAUAUAACUCUUAAGGCAAAUAAAUGAACUGACUUCAACUGGGAUACAUUUGGAAAUGUGGUCAUCAAAGAUGACUUGAAAUGAG
rnacentral:lncRNA from 1 species